AGCUUGCUUGUCCAUCCACUUGUCGCCCUGUCUCUUCCAGCCCCACGCAUCCGCACAGUGUGCCAGGGAAUCAUGUUUGGCAGACCCAGGCUCUUCCAAACAUGAAGCAAACAGGGGGAGACUGUUUGACUCGAAGUAACAUUUUGCAUCAUAGAAAAAUGAUGGGAAAUUUUACUUGUGGAAUAUUGCUUAUUUCAAGGGUAGUAUGCCAAUACAACAAUUAAAAUAAAAUUUGUGGUGGUAGUAUGAUUAAACUCUUCUGUUAAGAUACAUGAGCUAAGUCAAAUUCUUUGGAGCCAGGUCAAAUGAGAGAUAAAAGAAACCCCAAGGUUCUUAUAACCUUUAGUGUUGAGUGAGCUCAGAGGUAAAUAUUUAUGUUCACAAAUACUCUUUCUUUUUU